CAGUAGCCGCGGGAAUACGUAGGUCCCGAGCGUUGUCCGGAUUUAUUGGGCGUAAAGCGAGCGCAGGCGGUUAGAUAAGUCUGAAGUUAAAGGCUGUGGCUUAACCAUAGUAUGCUUUGGAAACUGUUUAACUUGAGUGCAGAAGGGGAGAGUGGAAUUCCAUGUGUAGCGGUGAAAUGCGUAGAUAUAUGGAGGAACACCGGUGGCGAAAGCGGCUCUCUGGUCUGUAACUGACGCUGAGGCUCGAAAGCGUGGGGAGCAAACAGGAUUAGAUACCCCUGUAGUCCCUGUCUCUUAUACA
rnacentral:rRNA from 1 species